rnacentral:rRNA from 1 species
ACUCAAAGGAAUAGACGGGGACCCGCACAAGCGGUGGAUCAUGCGGUUUAAUUCGAUGCAACGCGAGGAACCUCACCUGGGCUUGAAAUAUAGCUGUGGGCGACUGGAAACAGACGCCGUCCUCGAGAUCGCUAUGUAGGUGCUGCAUGGCUGUCGUCAGCUCGUGCCGUGAGGUGUACCCUUAAGUGGGGUAACGAGCGCAACCCCUGUUGUGCGUUAUACUUUCGCACAAGACUGCCUUCGCAAGAAGGAGGAAGGAAGGGAUGACGUCAAGUCAGCAUGGCCCUUACGUCCAGGGCAACACGCAUGAUACAAUGGACAGUACAAUGGGACGCCAAAGCGCAAGCUGGAGCAAAUCCUGUAAAACUGUUCUCAGUUCGGAUUGGGGUCUGCAACUCGACCCCAUGAAGCCGGAAUCGCUAGUAAAGGCGGAUCAUAACGCCGCCUUGAAUACGUUCUCGGGUCUUGUACACACCGCCCGU